GCCGCGCGGCCGAUCCGGAGCGGCGGGGCCGUGGAGGGCGGGGGAGACACCGGGCACGGAGCUGCUGCCGCCGCCGCCGCUCUCCGGCGCCAGUUUGCUACAGUAGCUGGAUGGUUCUAAUGAGCACAGCAUACUGUUCCAGCUCACUUUCUCUCUUCGAAUUUGGCUACAUGUGGUGGUUUCAAUUCUGCAUGUAGGCAGAGGCCAGGCCCUGCUCACUUUGACAGCCUCAGAAGCUGGUGGCAGAGUUGGAUCUCAGACCUCCUAAGAGACUGACCGCGUGUGUGUUUUCAGAUGCACCCCCACCUGUGAGCAGCGGAAACCUGGGAAGACGAGAAGAGGAAGCUUAAGCCCAGUUCCUGAGAUGCGACGAUGAAGUUUAAGCCUGAUUCCAGAAUCUGAGACGCAGUAGAUGGUGCUGAAGCAACACUGAUGCUCGUCCUGUGAAAUAUCCACAUUCCAGUGUGUAUAUAGAAAGUGCCUGCUGGCUCUCCCAAGUGUUGAUGGUCCUGUGGCUUCAAGAGAUGCAUUCUGGGACGAGAAAACACUGACUGUUAGUUUUAAAAAUGUUAAUAAAUAAUUCUUCAUGUUACUUUUUGGUUCAUCAUUGCUUAUGGAGGUCCUCUCAAGAAUGCAGGUUGAUAGUGGUGGUCUGGGUGCUGAAUACUGACACAGUGUCAUCAUCUCUCAGUUCAUAAAAGUACGCUUGUCUUGGAACUGUGGACGUUUGAGAAGUGAUAGAUAUAUAUCCCAUUAGUGAAAGUCUUGAGUGUAAACUUACAUCAGUUCUAAAAAUGGGAAGAAUUUUUCUGGAUCAUAUUGGUGGCACUCGCCUGUUCUCUUGUGCAAACUGCGACACGAUUCUGACCAACCGUUCCGAACUCAUCUCCACUCGUUUCACCGGCGCCACAGGAAGAGCCUUUCUUUUUAACAAGGUGGUAAAUCUGCAGUACAGUGAAGUUCAGGAUCGGGUCAUGCUCACUGGCCGCCACAUGGUUCGAGACGUGAGCUGCAAGAACUGCAACAGCAAACUGGGUUGGAUCUAUGAAUUUGCCACUGAAGACAGCCAGCGCUACAAGGAGGGCCGUGUCAUCCUGGAAAGAGCAUUAGUCCGAGAGAGCGAAGGAUUUGAGGAGCAUGUUCCAUCUGACAAUUCCUGAAGAGACCUGAGUCUCUUCUCAGGUUCUCUUCCAUUGAAACUCAAGUAUAAUAAAAUCAACAAAAAAAUCUGCUUACAUACACUGUCACCUUAGCAUCAGAGUCGGAUUCAUGGACUACAGAGUGGAAAAGAUUGUGAGAGUAUUUCAGAUGGAACCUUCCUUUCUUUAUUCCAUUUAUAUUUUACUUUCCCUCCAGCAGCUGUUUGUAGAAAGAAUGUUGUGCAGAUGCUGUAACUUUUUCUCUCUUUCAUUUACAUCUGUUAGAUUUGAGAUUGUAUCUACAGAUACACUGGGCUAAAAGGAAAAUAUUUGGUGGAUUUGUCUUUUGUUGGAGAGAAAUUCAAUGAGUUUGUUUUUUUUAGUUUGCACAAACUGAUGUCAGCAUCGAAUUAUUUUAAAAACUUCAGAUUUUUUUAAAAAAGUAUAUUCCAAUUUUUGGCUUAAGUUUUUAGUUAGGUUUUUUUGGGGUUUUUUACCCAGUCUUUUCAACUGGUUUGCUAGCUGAAGUAAAGAGAUCCGAAUUUGUGCUGAGUGCUAAAGGUUCAGUGUUGGUACGGCUUGGGCUGGCCCGUGUGCCAUAUUCUUGUUGAGGUUGAUUGGUAGCACAGAGCCCAUUAUUUCUUGUCAUUCUUGACCCAAAGAUGUCUCCAUUCCUCGUUUGUUUGUGAAGUCCCAUUCACCACGUAAACUGGUGUUGAUUGGAAACUAUUCUUGAAAUAGGGCAAAACUGCUUGGCUUUUUUUAACUUUAACUGAUGUAACUUAUGAGCAUAGUAAUAAUAUAAAAUAAUAGCUGUCUGUUUAGUCUUGCGUUGCUUACGAAUCCAGCUGUGUUUGUAAUGAUAGGGAUCCACUGAGAAACUACUGUUUCAGUAGUGAUUUUUUUUUUUUUUCGUUUUCUCUACUAAUCUUAUUAAGUAGACAGGGAAUUGCAAAUCUUAAUUCUUCUUCAAGUAGCUUUCUUUAAACCCAGAACUUCCUAUGUUAAACACAGCUGCUGUGUAAAAGGAGAAGAUUGCCAGCAUGUUUGUUCAUGCCUAGAGUUAUGCAGUCCGCAUCUCUUGAAAAGAUUAACUUAAACAGCUUGUUUUCAAAUGCUGCUUCUGGUGUUGAAACCUUUAUCUUUCAACUUUGUUGAACCUUUUCGUUGUGUUGUUACAUUUUUAUCUUUCUGGGCAGCAGUAGGUGUCAGCCUGGUAGUAACUAGUGACUUGGAUUCCUGCUUUGUUCUUGUAGAGGUCAGCUCUGUUUGAAACAGUGAUCUUGCUUGCCUUUUUAGCAAAAAUGCUCUUCAGUAACUUAACUCAAGGGUGCCCAAACACUUUCUUUGUGUCUUAAGCCAUAAGUUAAGAUCUCAAGGGCUGAAAUUUAUUUGAAUGUUAGAUAUGUAUGAUUUCUUAUCCAAGAUACAAGUUAGUUGUCGGUUUUUUUCAUGUUGGAUAAAUUGUGGUCAACGUGAAAUAAGUUACCCACAGAUGUAGAAAAAGGAGGGGGGGGAGCCCCACCCAACCAAACAGGUCUGGGCUCUGACAUUUCAGAAUAACUUUUCUUCCCUAGCCACUGCUCCAUGUCUGAAACUAAAACUGGGAGGGUGACUAUGCAGAGUAUUUUUCUUAAUUUUUUAGUUGCCAAGUGGCAAUUUGGACACCCCUGACUUGAAUCUACUGCCUCUUUCAUGUAAAAGUAGCUUUAUUAUAGAAUUGUCACAUAGAAAGAAAAGAGUAGAUCACAUACCAGAGCUGUGCUUGAAUCAAGCUGCUUAAACAAUAGUGUACUUGUGCCUCAAAUGAAUCAGUUUUUGCACUGAGUACAGUAGUACCCCAUUAUCUUGUACUCCUGUCCUUCACAGACCCUAAAAGCGCCAUUAGCAUGGUUCUCCGCAGUACUUUUCUUGUACUUCUGACAUUACAGUACAAUAAAGUAUGUUUUGUCCUGAACUGA